GUUGCUCGGAAUCACUGGGCGUAAAGCGCACGUAGGCGGCUUUUUAAGUCAGGGGUGAAAUCCUGGAGCUCAACUCCAGAACUGCCUUUGAUACUGAGAAGCUUGAGUCCGGGAGAGGUGAGUGGAACUGCGAGUGUAGAGGUGAAAUUCGUAGAUAUUCGCAAGAACACCAGUGGCGAAGGCGGCUCACUGGCCCGGUACUGACGCUGAGGUGCGAAAGCGUGGGGAGCAAACAGG
rnacentral:rRNA from 1 species